CUGUAAAUAAUCUACCUCUUGGAGGGGGAUAACGCUGAGAAAUUGGCGCUAAUACCGCGUAAAACUGCUAUGGGGCAUCCCAUUGGUAGUUAAAGCUGCUUAAUUGUAGUACCAAGAGAUGAGUUUGCAAAUGAUUAGCUAGUUGGUAGGGUAACGGCCUACCAAGGCAGUGAUCAUUAGCUGGUCUGAGAGGAUGAUCAGCCACGCUGGAACUGAGACACGGUCCAGACUCCUACGGGAGGCAGCAGUGAGGAAUAUUGGGCAAUGGACGCAAGUCUGACCCAGCAACGCCGCGUGGGGGAAGAAGGUCGUAAGAUCGUAAACCCCUUUUCUAAAGGAUGAAUGCCCACUAUUUGUAAAGGUAGUGGUUUGACCGUACUUUGGGAAUAAGCCCCGGCUAACUACGUGCCAGCAGCCGCGGUAAUACGUAGGGGGCGAGCGUUGUCCGGAUUUACUGGGUGUAAAGGGAGCGCAGCGUCUAGUAAGUCAGAGGUGAAAUCCUGCAGCUUAACUGUAGAACUGCCUUUGAUACUGCGAGACUUGAGUACUAGAGAGAGAGACGGAAUUCCAGGUGUAGUGGUGAAAUACGUAGAUAUCUGGAAGAACACCAGAGGCGGAGGGGUCUCUUGGCUAGUAACUGACGCUGAGGCUCGAAAGCGUGGGUAGCGAACAGGAUUAGAUACCCUGGUAGUCCACGCUGUAAACGAUGAAUACUAGAUGUCGGCGUUAAAGUCGGUGUCGGAGCAAACGCAUUAAGUAUUCCACCUGGGGAGUACGAUCGCAAGG
rnacentral:rRNA from 1 species